rnacentral:rRNA from 2 species
UGGGGAAUAUUGCACAAUGGGGGAAACCCUGAUGCAGCGACGCCGCGUGGAGGAAGAAGGUCUUCGGAUUGUAAACUCCUGUUGUUGAGGAAGAUAAUGACGGUACUCAACAAGGAAGUGACGGCUAACUACGUGCCAGCAGCCGCGGUAAAACGUAGGUCACAAGCGUUGUCCGGAAUUACUGGGUGUAAAGGGAGCGCAGGCGGGAAGACAAGUUGGAAGUGAAAUCUAUGGGCUCAACCCAUAAACUGCUUUCAAAACUGUUUUUCUUGAGUAGUGCAGAGGUAGGCGGAAUUCCCGGUGUAGCGGUGGAAUGCGUAGAUAUCGGGAGGAACACCAGUGGCGAAGGCGGCCUACUGGGCACCAACUGACGCUGAGGCUCGAAAGUGUGGGUAGCAAACAGGAUUAGAUACCCUGGUAGUCCACACCGUAAACGAUGAUUACUAGGUGUUGGAGGAUUGACCCCUUCAGUGCCGCAGUUAACACAAUAAGUAAUCCACCUGGGGAGUACGACCGCAAGGUUGAAACUCAAAGGAAUUGACGGGGGCCCGCACAAGCAGUGGAGUAUGUGGUUUAAUUCGACGCAACGCGAAGAACCUUACCAAGUCUUGACAUCCUGCGACGAUGCUGGAAACAGCAUUUUCCUUCGGGACGCAGAGACAGGUGGUGCAUGGUUGUCGUCAGCUCGUGUCGUGAGAUGUUGGGUUAAGUCCCGCAACGAGCGCAACCCUUACUGUCAGUUACUACGCAAGAGGACUCUGGCAGGACUGCCGUUGACAAAACGGAGGAAGGUGGGGAUGACGUCAAAUCAUCAUGCCCUUUAUGACUUGGGCUACACACGUACUACAAUGGCGUUAAACAAAGAGAAGCAAGACCGCGAGGUGGAGCAAAACUCAGAAACAACGUCCCAGUUCGGACUGCAGGCUGCAACUCGCCUGCACGAAGUCGGAAUUGCUAGUAAUCGUGGAUCAGCAUGCCACGGUGAAUACGUUCCC